UAUUCUUCUUCCUUUUACUGCUAACUCUUUUUUUUUUUUAAUCUUAUUUUACUUUGUCUUUAUUUUAUAAUAAAUUUAAUAUUUCUUUGCUAAAUUAAGAUUUGUUAGAUUUAUAAUUAAUUUUGUUGAUUUUUGUAUUCUCUGAUUAAUUAGAGAAGAUAUAUUUUAAUUUUUGAAUAUCCUUUAAUUAAUUAAGUUCUUGUUUAAUCCUGGGAAAAUAUUUCACAUUGUAAGAAUAGUUUCUUAGGACAGUGCCUAGCUCGAUUCAAAUAUUUUAUAUAUUACUUAAAAUAUUAUUUAAUUAUUAUUAUUAUUAAUGUUAUUAUUUGUAACACCCGUACUUUUGGGCUAGAAUCUAGAUUGUCGUUCCUACGCAUAUAGACCCGAACUAGAUAAUUCCUUGUUAAUAUAUGUGAGUUUAAUCCUAUAGUGUGGGAAUAUCUAUGAAUAUGAAUUGAUAUCACAAAAUCCUCUAACUCUAAGACGAGUUGAAAACAUUUCUAGCGAUUAAGUUUCAGUGGAUGUUGAAACUUGGGUCAACUUUCAUCGACCAUAACUUCUUGUAUACAUCAAAUUAGAGGACCCACUAUAUAUCAAAUGAAAGGUCUUCGAAGUAUCUUUUCAACGAUAUCAAUUUCGUCAAAAUUUGAUACCCAAACGAAAAGUUAUAGCCAUUUUUGUGAGAGAGGCAGUAGCUGUGCGCGAUUAGCAUGCCACGUACGCACCUAAUUUUCAGGUUCUGUUUUUGCGUUUUUAAGGGCAAUUUGGGCCUUUACCUCACCCAAGGUUUGUCCAUAACAUAAGAUUCACUCCCCAAAAGAAGAAUACACUCCAUAAUUCAAUUUUUUCCUCUCAAAUUAAAACCCUAAAUCUUUUCCCUCAAGAUCAAGAAUCAACAUCUUAAGUUCAAGACUCCAAGAAAAGGGUCAAGAUCCGGGUUCCAUCUAUCAAGAUCUAGGUUCCAUCUUUCAACUCUUAUAAUCUAAGUACAACUGUAUUGACCCCCUAUCUCUCAGAGUCUGAGGCUCAAUCUAGAGGUUCAGCUAAGCAGUAGAGAUUUCAGAGAGAAGAGACUGUGCAGUGGUGAGCCUUCUUUAUUUCAGAAGGCCUUUUUAUUCCAGUCUAUGUAAUUAUUUUAUUUUGGGUCUACUGGGGGCCGUGUCCCAGAUUCAGACAGUUAUCAUUUUAGCAUGUAAUAGAGAUUUCGUAGAUUGGUUCAGAUAUUGUCUAGAGUUCUUGUAUUUCAAAUUCCUUAUUGUUAAAUUGAGUUCAGAUUAUGACCAUGA